rnacentral:rRNA from 1 species
CGAGUUACGAUUUGAUGCAAGGUUAAGCAGUAAAUGUGGAGCCGUAGCGAAAGCGAGUCUGAAUAGGGCGUUUAGUAUUUGGUCGUAGACCCGAAACCAGGUGAUCUACCCUUGGUCAGGUUGAAGUUCAGGUAACACUGAAUGGAGGACCGAACCGACUUACGUUGAAAAGUGAGCGGAUGAACUGAGGGUAGCGGAGAAAUUCCAAUCGAACCUGGAGAUAGCUGGUUCUCUCCGAAAUAGCUUUAGGGCUAGCCUCAAGUGAUGAUUAUUGGAGGUAGAGCACUGUUUGGACGAGGGGCCCCUCUCGGGUUACCGAAUUCAGACAAACUCCGAAUGCCAAUUAAUUUAACUUGGGAGUCAGAACAUGGGUGAUAAGGUCCGUGUUCGAAAGGGAAACAGCCCAGACCACCAGCUAAGGUCCCAAAAUAUAUGUUAAGUGGAAAAGGAUGUGGCGUUGCCCAGACAACUAGGAUGUUGGCUUAGAAGCAGCCAUCAUUUAAAGAGUGCGUAAUAGCUCACUAGUCGAGUGACACUGCGCCGAAAAUGUACCGGGGCUAAACAUAUUACCGAAGCUGUGGAUUGUCCUUUGGACAAUGGUAGGAGAGCGUUCUAAGGGCGUUGAAGCAUGAUCGUAAGGACAUGUGGAGCGCUUAGAAGUGAGAAUGCCGGUGUGAGUAGCGAAAGACGGGUGAGAAUCCCGUCCACCGAUUGACUAAGGUUUCCAGAGGAAGGCUCGUCCGCUCUGGGUUAGUCGGGUCCUAAGCUGAGGCCGACAGGCGUAGGCGAUGGAUAACAGGUUGAUAUUCCUGUACCACCUAUAAUCGUUUUAAUCGAUGGGGGGACGCAGUAGGAUAGGCGAAGCGUGCGAUUGGAUUGCACGUCUAAGCAGUAAGGCUGAGUAUUAGGCAAAUCCGGUACUCGUUAAGGCUGAGC